CUACGGGUCGCAGCAGUGAGGAAUAUUGGACAAUGGGGAAAACCCUGAUCCAGCAAUGCCGCGUGAAUGAAGAAGGCCUUAGGGUUGUAAAGUUCUUUCACCCGUGAAGAUGAUGACGGUAACGGGAGAAGAAGCCCCGGCUAACUCUGUGCCAGCAGCCGCGGUAAGACAGAGGGGGCUAGCGUUGUUCGGAAUAACUGGGCGUAAAGGGUGCGUAGGCGGUUGUUUAAGUAAAGUGUUAAAGCCCUGGGCUCAGCCCAGGAAUCGCAUUUUAAACUGGACAGCUAGAGUGUGGUAGAGGAAAGUGGAAUUUCUAGUGUAGAGGUGGAAUUCGUAGAUAUUAGAAGGAACACCAGAGGCGAAGGCGGCUUUCUGGACCACAACUGACGCUGAGGCACGAAAGCGUGGGGAGCAAACAGGAUUAGAUACCCCAGUAGUC
rnacentral:rRNA from 1 species